GACGAACGCUGGCGGCGUGCUUAACACAUGCAAGUCGAACGGAAAGGCCCUGCAUUUGUGGGGUGCUCGAGUGGCGAACGGGUGAGUAACACGUGAGUAACCUGCCCUUGACUUUGGGAUAACUUCAGGAAACUGGGGCUAAUACCGGAUAGGAGCUCCUGCUGCAUGGUGGGGGUUGGAAAGCUGCGGCGGUUGGGGAUGGACUCGCGGCUUACCAGCUUGUUGGUGGGGUAGUGGCUUACCAAGGCUUUGACGGGUAGCCGGCCUGAGAGGGUGACCGGCCACAUGGUUCCUAAGGAAUGGACCAGUAUCGAACGGGGGGCAACAGUGGAGAGUGUUACACAGUGGGCGGAAGCCUGAGGCCGCAACGCCGCGUGCGGGAUGACGGCCUUCUGUGGGUAAACCGCUUUCGCUUGAUACGACGCGUGAUUGACGGUAAUGGGUAAGUAAGCACCGGCUAACUACGUG
rnacentral:rRNA from 1 species